ensembl:antisense Gm27184 predicted gene 27184
ACGGUGCCUACGCCGGGGACACUGCCCCAACCCCGUAGCUCAGGCUUCAGUGGAUGCUCACGCCGUCUGCCUUCAUUUCGCAGCCACGAGGCCGACGCCGCGUUGCGUGCGGAGUCGGAUGGGACCUGGCGCGCUGCGGACUCGGCGACCCGCAGACCCGCUGCCUGUGAGCUGGCCGAGACCUUCGGAGGACGCUUCCUGGAGGAGGCCGGAACAUGGAGGAGGGAGUGGGAACAGCUUUCAGGAGCCAGGACAGGAUGCCCGGAGCCCUGACAGGAUGACAGUGGCCACUUCAUGCCAGGGUGUCCCAGCCUGGCCCGCUUCUCUGCUGCUCGGUUUUUAUGGUUGUGUGUGACAGCAGGAUCUCUAAGUUCCCAGCCUUAGACUGAAUGUGGAAGCUGCAAAAAUAAUUUGGUAGAAGCAAAAGGCUUUUGAACAGCUCAGAAAACACUUCGUGAAGACACCCUGCAGACUGCGCUGUCAACUGUAUGUAACAAUAAGCACACGCGGCUCAUUGAUAUGUCAUUUUCUUUCAUACUUAAUAGUAAAGUUAUGUUGCCAAUGUAUUCUUUUAAAAUAAAUUUCUUUAUGAUUUCUUACCCAUGAA